CAUUAACUUCCUCUUUUUUUUUCCAAUUCCAAGCUUGCAACAGUGCUUAACAAAACUAGAAUGUAGAAUUGGCAACAACUUUUUACCAACAACUAAAAAAUUGUUGCUAAUUUCAAUUAAUGGCAACAACUUGAUUCAAUUGUUGGUAUAGAAUAAAAUUUCCGCCACAACUUAUUUCUUGUUAGCAAAAAUUAUUUUCUCGUUGACAUUAAUAAUGAGUAAUAUAAUAUAUAUAAAAUAUAAAAUGAAAUGGCAACAAUAUAUUUUCAUCGUUGCAAAAAGUAUCAUAUUUUUGGUAGAAUUCAUUUUUGUUCUCAACAAACUAAUUAAUUUGUGGCCUAAAGAUAAGUAUGCAGUAACUUUUUUUCCAUUUUAGUACGAAAAGUAAAGGCGCUAAAAUAUCCCUCUUUUUUCUAGCAGUUUUCCCUCUUUUUGUUUCAAUCUAGCUCUAGGGUUUCUCAUUUUUUUUCUUUUCAACUGCUGAACUGAUUUCAUCUCCGAUAAGACUAUUACGAAGAAUUAAGAAAAUAAUUCAUGUAAUUAUUUUCUUAAUUACAAAGAAUUAAGGCUGGUAAAGAUUGGGACUGAUCUGUUCCCACUAAUUCAUGUCAUCAUCUUCUCUGCACUGUCCGUGCCUUUUCUAGUCUACUUUGAAUCCCUUCUACUUCUGCCAGCAUUUCGUUCAUUUGUCUUCUUCAAAUUGACGGGCUCACAAGGAUAAAAUUGUUGAAAAUACAUCUUGGAGAGCUGUAUCUUUAUUAUUGAAAGGCGUCGAUGGUGGAUCUAGAACAGAACUCAGGGAUGUGCUUUAUAACAUCGACAACCAUAUUCCCCUGUUUGGGAUUCUUGGGUUCACUAUGCAGUGGCACUUCUAAGUUCUGCGCCUAAAUUGGUUGGUUUGCUGUCUGAGCUUGGUGAAGCCUUUAGUACCUUGGUAACAAAGUUAAUCCCCUGCUACAAGAUAUGCGCAUUGUGAAAUUCCACUAACUACAGGAUGAACAUGCAUAAUUCAACAAUCCAGCAGUACAAGUACUACCGGAAGAAGAUUUUUUUAAAAUUGCUUGUAGAAUUAGAAUACAAUGACUUUGCUUAUACGUAUAAUUUUUUUGAAAAUUAGUAGAGAUACGCAAAAGUAUUUAGUUUUGUAGGAAGUGGUAAAUAUCUAGUCCAUCAAUUUUAUGUAUUGACCUUUGCAAAUUUAUAUAAUUUUUAGU